GUGCAGCGCCGCGGUAAUACCGGCAGCUCGAGUGAUGUCCAAUAUUAUUGGGCCUCAAGCGUCCGUAGCUGGCCGCGCAAGUCCGUCGGGAAAUCCACCUGCCCAACAGGUGGGCGUCCGACGGAAACUGCAUAGCUUGGGACCGGAAGGCUCGAAGGGUACGUGCGGGGUAGGAGUGAAAUCCCAUAAUCCCGCACGGACCACCGAUGGCGAAAGCACUUCGAGAAAACGGAUCCGACAGUGAGGGACGAAAGCCAGGGUCUCCAACCGGAUUAGAUACCCCAGUAGUCC
rnacentral:rRNA from 1 species